GGCCUUGACAUACUAAGAACUUUCCAGAGAUGGAUUGGUGCCUUCGGGAACUUAGAUACAGGUGCUGCAUGGCUGUCAUCAGCUCGUGUCGUGAGAUGUUGGGUUAACGUCCGCAACGAGCGCAACCCUUUUCCUUAUUUGCCGGCGGGUCAUGCCGGGAACUUUAAGGAUACUGCCAGUGACAAACUGGAGGAAGGCGGGGACGACGUCAAGUCAUCAUGGCCCUUACGGCCAGGGCUACACACGUGCUACAAUGGUCGGUACAAAGGGUUGCUACCUCGCGAGAGGAUGCUAAUCUCAAAAAGCCGAUCGUAGUCCGGAUCGCAGUCUGCAACUCGACUGCGUGAAGUCGGAAUCGCUAGUAAUCGCGGAUCAGAAUGCCGCGGUGAAUACGUUCCCGGGCCUUGUACACACCGCCCGUCACACCAUGGGAGUUUGUUGCACCAGAAGUAGGUAGUCUAACCGCAAGGAGGACGCUUACCACGGUGUGGCCGAUGACUGGGGUGAAGUCGUAACAAGGUAAGCGUAGAUGA
rnacentral:rRNA from 1 species